UACGUAGGGUGCAAGCGUUAUCCGGAAUUAUUGGGCGUACAGAGCUCGUAGGCGGUUUGUCACGUCUGCUGUGAAAACUGGAGGCUCAACCUCCAGCCUGCAGUGGGUACGGGCAGACUAGAGUGCGGUAGGGGAGAUUGGAAUUCCUGGUGUAGCGGUGGAAUGCGCAGAUAUCAGGAGGAACACCGAUGGCGAAGGCAGAUCUCUGGGCCGUAACUGACGCUGAGGAGCGAAAGCAUGGGGAGCGAGCAGG
rnacentral:rRNA from 1 species